UGACCUUGAUGCUUCCGGCUCCUCCAUCUCCUUCAACAAACUCGAUGCUCUUAAUACCUUGAGGGGCAAUCUUGGGAAUUAGGUUGUGAGAAUCAACGAUCAAAGCCUUGAACAUUCUUGAUGGAGCAAUGGGGGUUGUGAAUUCUUGGGUAUAUGUGGUGACACCCAUGUUUUUUUCUUAGGAGGGGAAAGAGAACUGAACAAGAGAUUUGGAGAGAAUAUGAAGGAAUAUGUGUGAGCGCUUCUUACUAGUGCAAGAGCUUGAGUUUGAUGCAGAAGAUGAAGAACCGGGGUGCUUUAAUAGACUCUUGACAGGAGACUCAGCUUUUAGG
rnacentral:lncRNA from 1 species